AAAUAGAUACCCGGGUAGUCCACGCCGUAAACGAUGAGUGCUAAGUGUUAGGGGGUUUCCGCCCCUUAGUGCUGCAGCUAACGCAUUAAGCACUCCGCCUGGGGAGUACGGUCGCAAGACUGAAACUCAAAGGAAUUGACGGGGGCCCGCACAAGCGGUGGAGCAUGUGGUUUAAUUCGAAGCAACGCGAAGAACCUUACCAGGUCUUGACAUCCCAUUGACCACUAUGGAGACAUAGUUUUCCCUUCGGGGACAACGGUGACAGGUGGUGCAUGGUUGUCGUCAGCUCGUGUCGUGAGAUGUUGGGUUAAGUCCCGCAACGAGCGCAACCCUUGUUCUUAGUUGCCAUCAUUUAGUUGGGCACUCUAAGGAGACUGCCGGUGACAAACCGGAGGAAGGUGGGGAUGGACGUCAAAUCAUCAUGCCCCUUAUGACCUGGGCUACACACGUGCUACAAUGGACGGUACAAACGGUUGCCAACCCGCGAGGGGGAGCUAAUCCGAUAAAACCGUUCUCAGUUCGGAUUGUAGGCUGCAACUCGCCUACAUGAAGCC
rnacentral:rRNA from 1 species